GGGCUCGUAGCUUAGAGGAAAAGCGUCAGUAUGGCAUACUGAAGACCGCGGGUUCGAGUCCCGCCGAGUCCA
rnacentral:tRNA from 1 species